rnacentral:rRNA from 1 species
UACGGAGGGGACUAGCGUUGUUCGGAAUUACUGGGCGUAAAGCGCGCGUAGGCGGAUUUGCAAGUCGGGGGUGAAAGCCCGAGGCUCAACCUCGGAACUGCCUUCGAUACUGCAAAUCUCGAGUCCGAGAGAGGUGAGUGGAAUUCCUAGUGUAGAGGUGAAAUUCGUAGAUAUUAGGAAGAACACCAGUGGCGAAGGCGGCUCACUGGCUCGGUACUGACGCUGAGGCGCGAAAGCGUGGGGAGCAAACAGGAUUAGAUACCCUGGUAGUCCACGCCGUAAACUAUGGGUGCUAGCCGUCGGGGAGCUUGCUCUUCGGUGGCGCAGCAAACGCAUUAAGCACCCCGCCUGGGGAGUACGGUCGCAAGAUUAAA